GACUUUCUAGUGAGAUGAAGGCAAGUUACAUCAGCACAAGUUCGUUGGUUUCUGUUGUUGUUUUCGUACAUACGCUUCUCUUGUGCGAUCCAAUUCACCAUUUCUCUUCAUUUCAGCUUUCAUUUGUCCACGAGACCAAAAUCCAUCAUUUUUUAGUUUUUAUUACAAAUCAAUAAAAUCGCGACCACCGGAGUGGAAAUGACGGAGCCGAAGAGGAUGGCUGGAGGAGUUGCGUUGAAUUUUCCAGCUAAUGAGGAGGAAACAACGUCGUCUUCUCUUUCACCUCAGCUGAAGGCGCCUCCUCGAAGGUUGAGACGACGUCUGCUUGCGGAGCCUAAAACCCCUCUCUCUGCUGAAGACAUCGAAGCUAAGCUCAGAGAGGCUAAUAUACGUCGACAGCAAUUCUACGAGUUCCUGUCAAGUAAAGCAAAGCCCAAGUCAAGAAGCUCUCCACAGACUUCCUGCCUAAGGGAAGAUCUUGCUCAACGGCUUGAAGCAAGUCUCAAUGCUGCUGAGCAGAAACGGGAAAGCAUUCUUACUAGUGCUCAGAUACACCUGGUAAGGCUGGAUGAGAUGUGGCAAGCAGCUAAAAGUGGAAUAGAAAAACAUUUUGAGAAGGAACCUGAUGAGCUUGGCAUUAAAGUUCAAUCACAGGUUGAACAAGCAGAGGCAAAGCAUAUACUUCUCCUGCAAGUCCAUAAACAAAGGGAAGCUGCAAAGAGAGAGCAAGCAGCUCUGUCAUUGAAGCAAAAAAUGUCUAAGCAGAACAAGUACAAACAGUGUGUCUGUGCUGCUAUUUAUAAAAAAACGUGUUCCUGCUGAAAGAAAACGGUUGGGUUUGUUGGAAGGAGGUUGGAAGGAGAAAGAAUGAGGGCCUGUGCAAGAGUACUGAAGGUAAGGCGGAUAGCUCAGUCCGUCUAUGGUCAACAAGAGACCGAGAGGAAAGAAAAAAAGGACCAAUUGGAAGAUCGCCUCAAAAGGGUAUGUUAGUGGUUGAAGUUGCAUCUUCCAUGAAGAAAUUGUUUAUCAUGUGUUGUUUUAAAUUAAUAUCUCUUUCUAUGGGAUUUUAAUUUGAUAAUGACUUGGCUAAGAGACAAAGGUCAGAAUAUUUGAGGCAGAGAAGAAACUUGAGCAGUCAUCUGCAUGCCAACUCAAAAAUGAGCCAUGAGCAGGAGUACCUUUCAAGAAAGUUAGCAAGGUACUGGAGGCGCUUUGUAAAAUUGAGGAAAACUACUCUCUCUCUGGCAAAAACUUAUGUAUCCUUGGGGAUCAAUGAAGAAUCUGUUAAAGCAAUGCCAUUUGAGCAGCUUGCUAUUCAUAUCAAGUCAACAACAACCA
rnacentral:misc_RNA from 1 species